CCAGACUCCUACGGGAGGCAGCAGUGAGGGAUAUUGGUCAAUGGGGGAAACCCUGAACCAGCAACGCCGCGUGAGGGAAGACGGUUUUCGGAUUGUAAACCUCUGUCCUCUGUGAAGAUAAUGACGGUAGCAGAGGAGGAAGCUCCGGCUAACUACGUGCCAGCAGCCGCGGUAAUACGUAGGGGGCAAGCGUUAUCCGGAUUUACUGGGUGUAAAGGGAGCGUAGGCGGUUCAGCAAGUCAGAAGUGAAAGCCCGGGGCUCAACCCCCGGACUGCUCUGGAAACUGUACGGCUGGAGUGCAGGAGAGGUAAGUGGAAUUCCUAGUGUAGCGGUGAAAUGCGUAGAUAUUAGGAGGAACACCAGUGGCGAAGGCGGCUUACUGGACUGUAACUGACGUUGAGGCUCGAAAGCGUGGGGAGCAAACAGGAUUAGAUACCCCAGUA
rnacentral:rRNA from 1 species